rnacentral:rRNA from 1 species
ACGGAAGGCAGCAGUGAGGAAUCUUGGUCAAUGGACGGAAGUCCGAACCAGCCAAGUCGCGUGCGGGAUGAAGGCCCUACGGGUCGUAAACCGCUUUUGUACGGGGAUAAAGUCACCCACGUGUGGGUGUUUGUAGGUACCGUCAGAAUAAGGAUCGGCUAACUCCGUGCCAGCAGCCGCGGUAAUACGGAGGAUCCGAGCGUUAUCCGGAUUUAUUGGGUUUAAAGGGUGCGCAGGCGGGCUGCUAAGUCUCCGGUGAAAUGUCAGGGCUCAACCUUGGCACUGACGGAGAUACUGGCGGCCUUGAGAGUGGCGGGGGUAUCCGGAAUGUGUGGUGUAGCGGUGAAAUGCAUAGAUAUCACACAGAACACCGAUUGCGAAGGCAGGAUCCCAUACCAUAUCUGACGCUCAGGCACGAAAGCGUGGGGAUCGAACAGGAUUAGAUACCCGGGUA